rnacentral:rRNA from 1 species
UACGUAGGGGCUAGCGUUGUCCGGAAUCAUUGGGCGUAAAGAGCGUGUAGGCGGCCCGGUAAGUCCGCUGUAAAAGUCCAAAGGCUCAACCCGUUUGAAUGUCAGGUGGAUACUGCCGGGCUAGGAAGUCCGGAAGAGGCGAGUGGAACUCCUGGUGUAGCGGUGGAAUGCGCAGAUAUCAGGAAGAACACCAACGGCGAAGGCAGCUCGCUGGGACGGUACUGAACGCUGGAGAACGGCGAAAGCGUGGGGGAGCGAAACAGG